rnacentral:miRNA from 1 species
CCCGUGGGGCUGCUGUUAUUCU